UAGACAUUCAUCACGCAAGACUUUUAGGCUUUUUACGGCUAUAUUUUGGCUAUUUUCUUUCCGUUUUCUUUGCUUGUGAGCUGGCAACACUCAUCAGGAGUAAACUGUGUCACCAACGAUUGAUGGUGGGAGCAACAAUGAUUUCAUGGUGUCUAAUUCCACCACCUCUCCCGCGCGCCUUCUAUACCUCAGGUCUCUCGCCAUGUUGCGGGGAGACAACUUUUGAAGGAGAUGUUUGUUUGGGCUGCCAUAUUGUCAACACAGCAGAUCACAGCACAGUUAGUGAGGCAUGAUAAACGUCAUCCGUUCGCUUUACAGAAAUUCAUGCAACGAACGUUUUUUUUAGGAAUGUAACCCUUUCGUUAAGCAGGGGUUGCCUGUAGUUUUUUUAAGAGUUGAGUAAUAAAUUUUCACAAAAAAGAGACUUUCCUAGUGGCCCGGAAUGUAACCCACCUAUUACCAUAUUUUUCUGUGGGAAAAUUGUUUGAGUAAUGUGAUUUUGAAUAAUAUGACACCUCCAGGAACAUAACUCUUGCAUUAAUUGAAAGCUGACUGUAUGUGUAAAUAUAUUUUAGUAUUAAUUAGGUAAUAGUGGAUUUUGAAAAAUAUUUACAUAUUUUGUGAAGGAUCGCUAAAUAAAUAUAUUAAGUUGA